AGAGGGCAUUCCUUGGUGCUGACAUACAGUAGCACCACAUGGAGAGCCGCAACAGGAUCGCACAGUAGAUGCAGACAGAGGAGAAGCUGUGUCACACGGGGUUAUGCCAUUGCUGUGCCAUUGAGUGGAGAUGUAAUCGAGUGUCUACAUACACCAAGCAGAUCCGUGUGGGGUACACUGCCCCAGGCAUCUCAGCCCAUGAAACUGUGGCUUCUGACCAGCUGCAGAGAGCAGAGGAUUGGUGGCCUCAGGCCUUGGCACUUCCUAGCCCUUCGUGCUUUCUCUCCAGUGCUUUGGUGUGCGGUGAGACCUCUUCUCCUCUUGUUUGCAGCUAUGCUUCAAAUGGGUCUGUCUACUUCGACACAGCCAAGUUCGCUGCUAGUGAAAAGCACUCCUAUGGCAAGCUGGUGCCUGAGGCUGUUGGGGAUCAGAAAGCACUUCAGGAAGGGGAAGGUAAGAGUCCACAGAGCACAUGUAGAAGUAAAGCUAAGCUGCUCUUCCUUGCUCGUGGCCCUCCUACACCAGGUCUCUACCCCAUGUACACUGCACAGGCACAUGGAGAGCAGGCUGCUUCCCCAAAGGAAUGUCAGGAUUUUUCUUCUCAAGACAGCAUUGCUUAAGAAACAGAAGUCAGGGGUUGGGGAUUUAGCUCAGUGGUAGAGCGCUUGCCUAGCAAACGCAAGGCCCUGGGUUCGGUCCCCAGCUCCGAAAAAUAGAAAAAAGAAAAAAAAAAAAAAAGAAACAGAAGUCAGUACUGCACGGUCCUGACACAGAACUCCUGGGACUUCAGCUGUUAUAGCAGGCACUUGUCAGAGAGGCCCUGAGCGACCCUAAUCUGUUGUGAUGAAGCACCUCGCACAGAGGCCCCAGAACCCGUGGCAGAGCGUGUUGCUUAGAUGUCUGUGCAGUGGUGUGUGUUGGUGAUCUGGUUCUCAGUAUUUUAGACACAGGGGUCAGGGUUUUCCUGGAUCAGGAGGAACCACAUGAAAACACUUUUCAGAAGUGCUUAUCUUAUAGUAAAGCUAAGGAGAGGCUCACAGAAUCCAGGGUUGGGAAAGUACAGUGUCCUUAAGAUGAGGAAUUACUUUCUUGCCAAAUAUAUCUCCAGAUGACUCCCUUAUUUCUGGAAGUCAGUCUAGCCAUUAAAAUGUAGGCUUUAUAAAAAUACCAGCUUUGGGGCUCUAUUCUAAAGAAAUAUCAGAAAUGAAAAACUCAACAAGGGCUGGAGAGAUGGCUCAGUGGUUAAGAGCACCCGACUGCUCUUCCAGAGGUCAUGAGUUCAAUUCCCAGCAACCACAUGGUGGCUCACAACCAUCUGUAAAGAGAUCCGAUGCCCUCUUCUGGUGUAUCUGAAGACAGCUACAGUGUACUCAUAUAUAUAAUAAAUAAUAAAUCUUU
rnacentral:lncRNA from 1 species